rnacentral:rRNA from 1 species
GUCAGAACGAACGGGGCGGCGGGCAAAACAGCAAGUCGAACGCACGAAGUUGAAGAGCUUGCUCUUUAACCAAGUGAGUGGCGGACGGGUGAGUAACACGUGGGUAACCUGCCCAUUAGAGGGGGAUAACAUUCGGAAACGGAUGCUAAUACCGCAUAGUUUCAGGAAUCGCAUGAUUCUUGAAGGAAAGGUGGCUUCGGCUACCACUAAUGGAUGGACCCGCGGCGUAUUAGCUAGUUGGUGAGGUAAUGGCUCACCAAGGCAAUGAUACGUAGCCGACCUGAGAGGGUGAUCGGCCACACUGGGACUGAGACACGGCCCAGACUCAUACGGGAGGCAGCAGUAGGGAAUCUUCCGCAAUGGACGAAAGUCUGACGGAGCAACGCCGCGUGAGUGAAGAAGGUUUUCGGAUCGUAAAACUCUGUUGUUAAAGAAGAACAAGGAUGAGAGUAACUGCUCAUCCCCUGACGGUAUUUAACCAGAAAGCCACGGCUAACUACGUGCCAGCAGCCGCGGUAAUACGUAGGUGGCAAGCGUUGUCCGGAUUUAUUGGGCGUAAAGCGAGCGCAGGCGGUUCUUUAAGUCUGAUGUGAAAGCCCCCGGCUCAACCGGGGAGGGUCAUUGGAAACUGGAGAACUUUGAGUGCAGAAGAGGAGAGUGGAAUUCCACGUGUAGC